GGAAGAGCCCAGCACCGAAUCCUUCACCAUCUCGGUGACAGGAAAUGUGGUGUUUAGGCCGUACCUUGUCCCGAUACGUCUCUCCUCAAGUCCACUUGAUUGUGGCCCCAGGCCCAGAGAGGGUGUAAGGCCCGUGGAGGCGAGACGUUCGGUACCCGGUGCGUCCUUAGAGUCGGGUUGUUUGGGAAUGCAGCCCUAAGCGGGUGGUAAACUCCAUCCAAGGCUAAAUACCAGCACGAGUCCGAUAGCGAAGAAGUACCGCGAGGGAAGGUUGAAAAGAACUUUGAAGAGAGAGUUCAAGAGUACGUGAAACCGCUGAGAGGCAAACUGGUGGAACUGAAAUGGUCCCGAGGAAUUCAGCCGUUGGUGGGGACACAGUCUUUGGUGCUUGAUUUAACGACAACGCCUUUGACUGACGUGUCUAUCAUCGGUGCACUUUCCUCGUUAUGGGCCCGACCACGACCGGUGAGCUGAUCUGUCUGUCGUGCUUGGAAGAUAGCGCCGUCUUCGGAAGGCGUGUUAUAGACUUGCAUACGGAGCAGUCGGCGCACUGGAUGAUAGUGCCUGCCCAUUGGGCUCAUAUGGUGGUUGUUUUGACGGCGAGUUCUGAUGUCACUACUUCGGUAAAGUCGUUAGACUGUGUUGGCCUUAUGACUGUCCUCUAUGAUUGGCACUGGUAAGUCUGUGGUUGUGAAGUAGGUAGUCCUGAAGUAGGUAGUCCACCUGACCCGUCUUGAAACACGGACCAAGGAGUCUAACAUGUGCGCGAGUCAUUGGGUUCACGAAACCUAAAGGCGCAGUGAAGGUAAAGAUCUGUUUUGGCAGAUUGAGGUGGGAUGCUGGGUUACGCGCCCAGCCGCACUACCGGCCCGUUCUAUAUGUAUCUCAUAGGAGCGGAGCAAGAGCGUACACGUUGGGACCCGAAAGAUGGUGAACUAUG
rnacentral:rRNA from 1 species